UGGCCUCAUUUCUGGGAGAAAACUCUUCCUC
rnacentral:piRNA from 1 species